rnacentral:lncRNA from 1 species
UUUUUUUUUGUAUAAAUAGAGGUGUUGUAUGAUUCAUUUUUCCAUAUAUCUUUUCAUUAUAUUGCAAACAUGGUUCAUCUUCGUCGCCGCUAUAGAAAAGUGAUUUAUUCAAGAGACAAGCCUCCGAUGAAGAUGCUAUUCUGGAACAUCUAUCGUUUCGAGCAACUACAGAGCGAGUUGGUUCGUUGGUUAGACGGAAAUAUAUAUGAAGGCGAAAAAAUUAGAAGUAUCGAGAGACUCGAUGCCUUACGUGGAUGGGUGAGAGUAAAAAAUGAUAAGGAUACUAGGAAAGUGAUGUUUGGACCAAAUGAUAUCAAUUUGCUUGUUGUAAUCUGUUAGAAAUGUUGUUUUUAAAUGUUGUGGUUGUCGCGUAAAAAGUUAACUGUUGACCAAAAGUCAACUGUUGUAUAAAUGGUCAAUUUGGUAACCUUUGUACAUGUAUGGACUUUGGAUGUGAUUGUAUGAAAUGAUAUUUGAUAUUUGAAUGCAUUAACUGUUUGAAAUGAAUUGUAUGGAUAUGAAAGAUAUUGAAAUGAAUGAACAUGAUAACAUGAAUCAAUGGAUACAAAUUUUGAAUGAAUCAAGACCUAAGGACCAAAAUGGACAAUGAUUAGGACCUAUCCAACGAUUUAUGGACGAAACACCAAUGAAAAUGGCAUGGAAUAGACUAAGUGAUGAACUUGAUGAAUACCUAAUCAUGAAUCAAUGGACAUGACCAUAACUUGGAUGAACAAUGCCAAGCAUGAAACAAAAACUCUAGCAAGACCCAAGAUGUACAAUGAACUAGGUCAUAAUCAAAGAUUCAUGGACCAAACAACAACGACAAUGCAAAUGGCACGAAUGACAUUGGCUAGAUGAAAUAGGUUAAGCAUGGACUAGGCAUGAGGAUAUGAUCAAAGGAUAUGAUCAGAUGCAAUGCUAGGGAUGAAUUGAAUCAAGUGGAAGUUGUGAUGCCAUGAAAAUGGGAUUGAACCAAUGAACAUAGACAGGAAAAAGAUGAACAUGUAAGGCCAUGAAGUGAAUGCUAAACAGACCAAAGAAACCUCCAUAAUAGACCAUUAACAAGUGGACCUUGAAUGGAUCUUGACCAGGAAAAUGAAACAUACACAAUGGAUGAUACAACAACCAUAUGACUACCAAACACCACAACAAUCAUUUCAACCUUUCCUCGAUGCAUCAUUCACACUAAUGUCUCCCUUCAAUCGUAUCAGUCACCCUUCAAUAACUCAAACACAUCCCAAAUACUCUGGCAUGGGUCACGAACUUAGCUAUGGUGGUAACACUUCAUUGCAGGUGGUGGUGAUGUUCCCGGGCCCUCAAAUCCUCAAACACAUUGGGUGAAUCAUCAACAUGGGUUAGGGGCACACGUCAGGGUAGCUAGGGGAUGUGGUACCAGAGGUCAGUUAGGUCAUCCCGAUCAAUGACAUUAGUCUUUAUGGUAUUCGUAUGUAAAUGCAUAUUAAUAUUAAUAUCAAUUGGUUCGAAUUCGAUUUUCAUCUAAAAUGUAUAUUGUUUUUCAAAAAAAAACUAUACAACACACAUAUGUGUCAGACCAAUUGGUGUCUCCUUUAAAAUCUAACACACAAACGCCAAUUGAAUUAUCAACACUAUGUGCAUAAGCCAAUCCAAUUGGCGCCACCUCUUUAAUUUAGAGAGCAGACGUCAAUUAAUUUGACGUCACCUCUUAAAAAUGGGGUAGUUUGGGAAUUAAUCUGAAAAGUGGGUUAUUUUGGAUUUUUUUUAAAGUGUGUUAGUUGAGUAAAAAUUUCCCAUGAUCAUCCCUAAGCGUGAGGUCUUAUUUGCUGAGGUCUCAUUCCUACAAACAUGUUGGCCUACUGUUGACGUGAGAUUUUCUGACUAAGAAUAAAAUCAAGUCAAUAUUGCACAUGGUGAAAUACUAAGUGUAACAAAUGAUAUAUAUGUCCCGACAAUGAUGACACGUAGACCAUACGAUCUCGACUGACAUCUUAAAGUGUUAGCAUGGGAAAUCUCAAGGAGAACCCUUGAGAAACAAGUUGAAAGAGUCUCAAGAGUAGACCUAAAAGGCUAUCCGACACCAUGUCGAGAGAAGGCUAUCCGACACCAUGUCGAGAGAAGACUCUCCGACAAACUUUGGAUACUUAGAAGAUUGAGGAAACCAAAGACAAAGAGAGCUCAAUGCACUUAGUAAUUAUUGUCAUCGAAGGAGAAAUUAUUAGCAUCUACACAGUUAGAGAACAUGGGAUAAUGACUUCAACAAUUCUUCAAAGCCAUAACGACGUGGCAGAACGUGGAGUGAAGAGUUGCAUGCAUUCAAGUGACAUGUCAUUGCCUACGGUGUUAGAACUGUCAAAGACAAUUAUUCUUAUGUAGUAUUUAUAGCAGACUCAUAUGUUGUAGCAAAUGGUUCACGAGUUUCACAUAAAAUUCUAUAUAGAAUUGGAGUACCCAAACUAGAGAGAGAAACAAUUUAUGAUAAAUUAUGAGAGUAUGUGUCCCUUUUUAUUUAUGUACUUUUUGUUUCCUUAAUCGAAACACAUUUACUUUUCUUGUCAUUUACUGCAUUAUCUUUUAAUAUUGUUUAUUUCAAGUUCUUUUUACUUCAGUUCAAACGUCAUUUUCUUUGAAGUUUAUCCAUGCACUGUCUAUGAUCAGACAAUUCUAGUUACGUCGUACACGUAUGUCACAUUCAUAUUUUUCACAGAAAACCGAUCUAGAGAUUUUUCGAGUUAAUCUCAAAGACUUUCAAACUCGUGAUUGUUUGCUAAAAAUACACGCGAAAACCUAUAUGAUAUCGCAAGAACUUAUAUCAUCAAUAAGGAUUUUCGAGAUUUUGCGGUGGUCCUCAACUACGAUCAGCACUAAUAGAAAAACCGUGUUAGGGAUCCCUUCCAAUUUGUCGUUGUCUCGAAACCCUAGGACGAACCUCUCUUAAUUUAAAAUUUCUUAUGUUAUUUGAUAAUUCGAGGAACUUUCCACUUGAUGUUUCUGUUGGUGUAAGCCCUAGAGGCCAAUAUUUUUGGUACUUGUAUCGAAUUAUUUAUUAAUAAUAAAAGGCAUUUUCUUUAUUAUGGUUGAUUAAUAAAGUCCCUAGAAUAGAUAGUCCGUUUAAUGUAUUAAGUGUGACUUAAUCAUGAUAACACAUUAAACAUAAGGGCACUGUUCUUAAAGUAUCCGUAGUCGAGCUUUAAUGUGAAGUGGGAUAACAUUAAAGCAUUAAGACUAUUAUGUAUGUAGACUGAUGAUCACAUCUCAUGGAUCAUGGAUAAAGAGUUAUCAAGUCUUAAACAUAGGUAUGAAUAUUAGGAGUAAUAUUUAUACCGGAUUGACCCGCUAUGAGAAUACUAUAUAGAAAGUUAUGCAAAGUGUCAUAAGUUAUUCUCAUGGUGAUAAUAGUGUAUACCACUCUUCGACCUGAAACCACUAUGGAUCCUAGAUGUAGAGUCGAGUGCUUUAUUGCUGAUCCAACGUUGUCCGUAACUGGAUAACCAUAAAGACAGUUGAUGGGUACUCCACGAAGCAUGCUGAGGGACAUGAGUGUCCUAGAUGGAAUUUGCCAAUCCUGCGUAACAGGAUAAAUGUCUAUGGGCCCAAUAUUGAACUGGACAAGGGUGACACGGUCUAUACCUUGUGUUCAAUAUAGACAUAAGGGCAAAGGGGUAAUUAUACACAUAAUUAUUAUCACAGGAGGUUUUGUCAGAUCACAUGACAUUUUCGUGACUUGGGUAGCAGUGAUGUGUUGCUAGAUACCGCUCACUGUUUAUUAUGUUAAAUGCGUGAUUUAAUAUAAUUGCCAACGUCGCGAAAACCUAUAGGGUCACACACAAAGGACGGAUUGAUGAGAGAUAGAAUAAUUAAGGAACAUCGUAAGGUACGGUGUACUUAAGUAGAAUACGAAAUAUGGUAAGGUACCAAAUACUUAAGUGAUUUUGGCAUAUUAUGAGAUAUGGGCCAAAAUGCACUUAAGUGGGCUUUUUGGCUUGAAGCCCACACAAGUGGUUCUAUAAAUAGAACCCCUUGGGUAGAAGCAUUGUCACUCCACUCCACUCAGACAGAAAUUCAAGUAGAGACUUGGAAUUUUGUUUCCCUCUUUCUCUCACUCAAAGCCUUCAUUCAUAACAGCUAGCACUGCGAUUGAAGGAAUCCGUUCGUGUGGACUGAGUAGAGACGUUGUCAUCGUUCAACGUUCGUGAUCGCCCCGUGGAUCUGUAUCAAAGGUUUUGAUCAUUAUCAGAGAUCUGCACCAAAGGUUUGAAUCGCCACAAGAGGUAACGAUUCUAUCACUGAUCAUGCCCAUUCGUAAGGAUCACUAAAUGGAGAAAUUUUUAAAUUCCGCUGUGCCUUGGAUGACAAUUCUCCAACAGUUUCUCGUAUGGUUCUUCCUUACCAAACGAUUAUAUGUCAAUGAGGAAACAAUGAGGUUUGACAAUGACCUCAAGGUAGGUGCUCGAGAGGUGACUAUGAUAGUCGGGUCAGAGAUUAUCAUCAUAGUUUGUGUGAGAUCGUUGUUAGGUUAACACUCUAAUGCCCAAGUGAGUGAAAUUUAUAGAUAUAGUUUUGGUGCGAGAAUGAGAUUGUAUCCAACGACAUGAGAUAUUCGGCAUGCGAUGCGAGAGUUGUUCGAUCGUAUCCAACGAUUCAGCAUGCGAUGCGAGAGUUGUUCGAUCGUAUCCAACGACAUGAGAUAUUCUAAAGGGUUGUGAUCAGGUACUUCGGUUUAGGUGAAACUUCCCUUAUCCACCCAUCUUACUUGAAAAAAAAAUGAAUUGAACUUUCGUUAUUGGGAUUGUCGCUCUGGAUCUCUAGCUCACCCAAAAUAGAUCCUAUUAAUUAUUAUGUUUCACGCAAACAGAAACACUUUAAACUAUCGUUAAAACUAACCAUUUUUUUCACCUAACGUCGAGUUAACGUCUGCUAAACCCGACUCUACAAUUAAUAAUACUUUUGGAAAAAACAGCAUUAUAUAAAUAUAUACAAAGUUGACGUUUACAAUAUUCGACAUUCGUGUCGUGAUCAAGAAUAAAUAUUUUAAGCUAAAAUAAAUUGUUGUUACAAUCUAUCUAAUUAUAAACCAAGUAAAUUUAAAGUGAAGUCAAUAUUGUUAAGAUUCUAAACAUAAAAUUAGUUGUUUUUAUAAAUAAACUAUACUACAUUUGUAAUAUUCCAAUAAAGUAAUACAUUGUACAUUUGUUAGAUUACUAGCAGUAUAAAAGUUCUUAAAUUAUUUUAGCAUACACAGCCAAUAAAAAAUUGUAUUAAUACAUUACCAUUUGUGAUAUAUUUCCCUUUUAUAAAAAGAAUAUAUUUAUAUUUGUAAAUAAAAAACAACUUUUUUAUAAUGUAUAUAAGUGAUAUUUAGUCCAGGUUCAUGUGAUAUAUAGUCUACAUUCAUAAAAUUCAGUACAUCAAGACUCAAGAGUUUAACAAGUGUCUAAAAAGGAAUAAGAGAAAUAAAAAUGUAGUAUGAACAUAUAUAUAUUUUUAAUACAUACUAAUAAAAGAGCUUAAACCUUUAUAAAUUAAGUAAUUUAAGUAGAUAAUGAACAUGUAAUAUAUAGUUUACAAAUUAAAAUUGGAAUCACCGCAAACCCAUAUCAAAAGCUAGGUAUAAAUAAAAAAGAUUUUGUUUUAGGUUUGGAAAAGGAAAUAUACCUGCCAAUACUAUAGUUUUCGUCGUCCAUUAUCUACCACACAUUUUUCAUCUUACAAAACAAAAUAUAAUAAAUACAUUAAUUAAUAAAACCAUAUAAUAAAAAAUAAAAAUAAAAAUAAAACUUCGAGUAAAAGAAAAAAUAAAAGGUACUACUAAUGUCAAAUCGAGAAGGUAGUAGAUAAAGAUGGGACCAAGAGGGUAAUAAAGUAAAAACAACAUUCUCUCGAGAGGGUAUUACUGUCCGAGAAAACAAAAAACAAAGAAAGUGCCGUUGUGAAUGCAUACGCUGACGUGGCAAAUACUCUCGUGUCUUAAUUCUCUUUAUUAAUGACAGUGUUUAACGCUAAUACACGCAUUAAAAAAUUAAACCCAUUUGUUAUUAUAAACCCAAACACGUCUUUCAUCUUUUCCAUUUCGUACAAAUACUCUCUCUCUACUUUCUCUCUCUAGAAUCUCAAAACCAAACACGAAGCUCCUUUCACUCGUCGCAACCUUUCUCGUCUGAUUCUCAAUAUCUUUCUCAAUUUCAAUUUCAAAUUCAAAUUCUCCACCUUCUUCUUUUUUCUUUAUAUAAAUCACCGAUUCUAUUUUUUCAAUUUUUCAAUUUUUUUUAUCGUUGCGAUUAUUGUUUUUUUUUCGUUCGUACGGUACGGCGUUGUUCGUUGAAAUCCAUCGCCGUCGUUCCGUUACGUAUUGACUGUUGAUCGUUAGUUUAUCGUGUUGUUGAAGUAUGGCUGCCGGAGUUGAAUUAUCGGAGGGGAAAAUUGGAAUUGUGAUGGAAUUUCCGGUCGGUGAUGAUGAAUCUCUGUCAUCAUCGCCGGUGAGGUUACCGAAGAGGCUCCGGCGAAGGCUUCUUGAUACGGAGUGUAAGUCACCGAGUUCGGUGGAGGAAAUUGAAGCCAAGCUUCGUGACGCUGAAAUUCGUAGACAGGUGUUUUUACGAUUCUAUUUCUAAAAACUGUUAAUUUGUUAGUUUGAGGAGAAAGUUAAGGGAUUUCAGCUUUAAUAUUCAAUUUAUUUUCUGUUUUUUUUUUCUUCCAUUUUUGUUCUUACAUGGCAAACACGUGUAAUAACUUUGAUUUUCAACCACAAAACCCAGAUUAAUCUCUAUUUGGGGAAUUUUUAUUUUUGAUCAUACAUAGUUUUUAUAAACAAAUUACAAGUUUUUAAUCUUUUAUUUUAUUCCUUGGUUAGUAUAUAUAACGUAUUUUGAUUUGGUUUGUUCCUUCGUCAAUGAGUGAAUAAUAUUCUAAACUCCUUCCUUUUCAUUUGGGCAUAUUGAUAGUUUCUUCUCUUCUAAGGAAAAUUCUCUUUUUUUUCUCUCUCUUUUUUAAGUUUUGUUUUCCUGUGUACUCGUGUGAUAAUUGAUAGUAAUUUAUUUUUUAUUCAUGAGUCUGGUUAGUUCUGUUAAUUGAAGUUCUAUUUGACUGCAGAAGUACUAUGAGAAACUCUCAAGCAAGGCACGUGCAAAGCCAAGAAGCCCAUCACGGUGUUCAUCUCAGGAUGAGGAUCUUGGUCAGCGACUAGAAGCAAAGUUGCAAGCUGCUGAACAGAAGAGGUGGGUUCCCUUUAGGUUGAUUGGUUGGGUUUUCUGUUGUGUCUUAACCAUGUACUAGUUUUAUUUAUUUAUUUUAGAAUUCUAAGUUUAAACUGUCAGCAUAUUAUGAUCCGGGUUGUGGUUUGGGAACACCAAUUUUUUGACACCUCAUGUGCCACCAUAUACCUCUAUCUAUCGUUAUCUCUCACCUAUUAUUUAUGUCAUACUCUUACACAGAUUUAAUAAAUACACUGAAACCAAAAAAAAAAAAGUCCCAAUUUUUUAUGUUCAGUUAUAAUUUCACUUAUGUUAAAACAUAAUUAUGAAGACCAGUUAUAUGUUUCUUGCUUGAUUAUAGAAUGGUUAUUUUUUGAUGUCGUAGAUGGUAUUGUCAGUCAUUUUCUUUAUCAGUAGUCAGUUGUGUUUACUUGAUGAAAAAACUAAUUAGGUGAGAUCUCUUUCCUACAGGUUGAGCCUUUUGACAAAGGCCCAAAUGCGUUUAGCAAGACAAGAUCAACUGCGUCAAGCAGCGAAAAAUGGAGUUGAAAUGCGCCAUGCCAAUGAACGUGUAAAGCUUGGGACAAAAGUGGAAUCGCGUGUUCAGCAGGCAGAGGCUAAUAGGAUGCUUAUCCUUAAGGCUCACAGGCAAAGAAGGGCUUCUCUUAGAGAAAGGUCAUCUCAGUCAUUGAUGAGGAGAAUGACUCGAGAGAGCAAAUAUAAGGAGCGUGUGCGUGCUGCAAUUCACCAAAAACGAGCUGCUGCUGAAACAAAACGACUCCGGUUGCUUGAAACUGAGAAGAAGAGGGCGCACGCACAAGUCUUACAGGCAAGACAUGUGGCAAAGUCUGUAACUCACCAGCGUGAGAUUGAGAGAAGGAAAAAGAAGGAUGAGUUGGAAGAUCGAUUACAAAGGGUAUGGUGUUAUUUUGUUUUUUGGGGUUCAUUUUCACUGCUUCAAAAAUUUCAGAUGUUGCAUGGUGGCCUUAGUGUGGUGCUGUUUUAACCAUGUCUUAAAUUUACAUUGAGCAGGCAAAAAGCCAAAGAGCCGAAUAUCUCAGGCACAGGGGAAGAUUGCGUGGUUAUGCGUAUGAGAAUUGGAUUAGAAUGUCACCGCAGGCAGAAUAUCUUUCCAAAAAACUAGCAAGGUUGUUUUCAUUUUAAGUUUGUAUGUAUAUUCUGUUGCAACUUGCAAGUUUAUGUAGCUUUAAUUUUUCUAUGCUUUACUCAACUGUAGUCAUUUUGGAGAGAAGUCCUUAAUAUUGUUUGCAAUGUUUUUUUUUCAUCUGUCAGGCAAAACUUGUACCCUUCAAAAUUAAAUUUCAAUAGGUGUAUCAACUUUUUUUAUUGGAUAUUAUUAUAUGACUUAUUCUGACUAUUUACUUCCUGAAGGUGCUGGAGGCGGUUCUUGAGGCAGAAUAGAACAACCUUUACCUUGACGAAGGCAUAUGACGUGCUGGGGAUCAACGAGAAAUCUGUCAAGUCAUUGCCAUUUGAGCAGUUUGCUGCUCUUAUUGAAUCAACUUCUACUCUUCAGACUGUGAAAACUUUAAUUGACCGGUUUGAGAGUCGUCUCAGAGUGCUUACAACUGUUGUUCCUGCCAGUUAUUUUUCUAGCUUGGAUAACAUCGAUCACCUCCUUAAACGGGUUGUUUCCCCCAAGAAAAGGGCUACUCCUAGGAGUUAUGCAAGAAGCCCGGCAAAAAAAGCAGAUUCAGUCAAGAAGUCAAACGAUGGCUUAUCUAGGUUAUCAAGGUAUCAAGUGAGAGUUGUUCUUUGUGCUUAUAUGAUACUGGGUCAUCCAGAUGCAGUUUUCAGUACAAUGGGAGAACGUGAGAUUGCUUUGGCCAAGUCUGCUCAAGAAUUUGUCAAAAUGUUUGAGCUGUUGAUAAAAAUUAUAUUAGAGGGGCCAAUAAAAAGUUCUGAUGAAGAAGCGGUCUCAGCUGUUAAGAAGCGGUGUACUUUCAGAUCACAGCUUGCUGCUUUUGAUAAAGCAUGGUGCUCGUAUUUGAAUUGUUUUGUGGUCUGGAAAGUUAAGGAUGCUCGUUCUUUGGAGGAAGAUUUGGUUAGAGCUGCUUGCCAGCUUGAGGCUUCUAUGAUUCAAACUUGCAAGUUAACUCCAGAAGGAGUUGGUAUUAGUCAUGAUAUGAAAGCUAUUCAGCACCAGGUAAUUUUCCAUGUCAAUAGUUGUGAGUUUUCCUUUUGAGUGGUAGCUAUUAUUGUUGAACUUGUAAUGUCAUGGAACAUCAAUAACAUCAAAAGCUGACUGGUAUGGUUGAUAGAUUUAACAAAAUUCUGCCCAUAACAGCUUUAUUAGUGUUGCUAGAGUAUGCUUUGGCUUAAUCUAUUUUCUAUAUUUUACAAUACAGGUCACUGAAGAUCAAAAACUCUUGAGAGAAAAAGUAAUGCACCUGAGUGGAGAUGCUGGGAUUGAGCGCAUGGAAAGUGCACUAUCUGAAACACGAUCUAGAUACUCAAGAGUAAGGGAUGGCGGAAGCCCAGUGGGGUCUCCAAUGACUCAAUACAUGUCUCCAAGCUUAACUCCACUUUCUACUGUUGCAAACUCAAGUGAAAGAAAUAUUUCAAAUGAGAGCAAUAAGACCAGUCGAGUGGUUCGCUCCCUUUUUAAGGAGACCGACACUUCCCCUAUAGAGUCAAGCUUUUCUUCACCUAUUACCAGUUCAAGUACGCAGCCCAGUACUACCUCUGUAAAGCUUGUAGCACCAAACGAGGUUCUUGUAAAUGAAUUUCUCCACGAACAUCACCGUAGUUUUGCUGAUGGCUUUGAUGUCUCUGAUCACAUUCAAAACAGCAUUGAGGUAAGUACAUCUAUAUAAAGUUGUUACUACCAUUUAACUGAAGGUUGAUUUUGGAUGACGCUUUGAUAAUUUGGUUCUGCCUCAGGCGUUGAUGUUUAAAUCUGCUGUUCAUGUUAUCCCCUCUGACUAAGAAAUUUCUGUAAUAUUGCAUCAAUCCUUUUGGUGUUACUGCUGAAAUGUUUUGAUUCUGAAUUCUUAUUCAUUUUUUAACCUGGCAGGGAAGAAUCAAACAGACAAUGGAGAAGGCCUUUUGGGAUAGUGUUAUGGAAUCUGUUAAGCAGGAUCAGCCCAACUAUGACCAGAUCAUUCAACUCAUGGAAGAGGUUAGGGAUGAAAUUUGUGAGAUGGCUCCAAUAAGCUGGAAGGAUGAUAUUAUUGCAGCCAUUGAUUUAGAUAUUCUUUCUCAGGUAGCAGCUAUAUUCUUUUCACAAGCAUGUUAGACUCGGAUUUGGAAUAUAUACCCAACUAUAAUUGUCAUUUUCUGAUUUUUGAUCAUAUCUGUCUUCUGUGUAUCUAAAGGUGCUUAAAUCAGGUAAACUGGAUGUCGAUUACCUUGGAAAAAUUCUUGAGUUUUCGCUAGUCAGUUUGCAGAAGCUUUCUGCCCCGGCCAAUGAGAAGAUAAUAAAGGCCAAACAUAAGGCAUUACUCUGCGAGUUAAGUGAAAUAUGCCAAUCUAGAGAUGAGUCAAACAAUGCAUGUGUUGUAGCCUUGGUUAAGGGUUUGCAGUUUGUCCUAGAACAGAUUCAGGUGUGUCUGCUUUAUUGGUUCUCUUUAUUUGAUCAUAUGUUCAGUUUUUUUUUCCCUUUACUUGUUGAUUAUGUAUGGGUUAUGCUUUUGAAUACACCUCUACUUUCACAUAAUAUUAGCUGCUAGAUGUAUCACAUAUAUCUGUACUGCUUUUCAUGAAACUUGCUGUGUUUUGUGUCACACUGUAAAACUUAAUGAGUAAAUUCUGCACCACUUCUUGCUUUUUCAAGAUUUGUUUUACUCGGCUUGUAUGUUAUGUGAUGUGAUAAAUUAUUUUGACAGAUUCUUAAGAAAGAGAUAAGUAAAGCACGGAUACGAUUAAUGGAGCCUUUGGUUAAGGGACCUGCUGGUCUGGAGUAUCUUAGGAAUGCGUUCGCAAAUAAAUAUGGAUCUCCAUCUGGUGCCAGUACUUCUCUUCCUUCAACACUCAGAUGGAUUUCAUCUACUUCGAAUUUUAAAGACCGGGAAUGGGUAGAAUAUAAGAAUUCCUCCUCAACAUUGACUGAUAAUUCAUCCCAAGAAGGGCUUCCUUCAACUACUCUCAGAACUGGGGGAAAUAUUAUGCUCAAAAGUACUGGCAGUCCAAUGGUCUUUUCUCCUGAUGGUUCAAAUACUAAAGGUUUUCUAUUUUGACGAAACUUCAAUUUCUGAUUCUUCAGUUAGCUGUUACAUACUGGCAGACUUAUAUACCCGAUUUCAUGUUAUUUGAUCAGGUGACCAGCAACCAGAAUGCAAAGGAGAACCAGUUGACCUCGUUGUGAGGCUUGGUUUACUAAAACUAGUAAGUGGAAUAUCUGGUCUAACACAAGAUGAUCUACCAGAAACUUUAUCUCUUAACUUCUCCAGGCUGAGGUCUCUCCAGGCUCAAAUCCAGAAGAUUAUUGUGAUUUCUACAAGGUAAAUAGCGUGAUUAUUUGUGUCAAGAAACAGUCUGAACUAUCUUUACUAACUAUUUUUCAAUAUUUUGGGCAUUGCAGCGUUCUUAUAUGUCGUCAGAUUAUUCUGAGUGAAAAGGCAGUAGCAAGCUCUGCAGAUAUGGAAAAUGCAGUGUCCAAGUGUGCAGAACAACUCUUGGAGCUCUUAGACCGUGUUGAAGAUGCUGAUAUUGGUGAUAUUGUAGGAGUGAUUUGCAAUCUGCCAUCAGUCGACGGGGAAGAAGAUGCAGGGAAGGUUCAGUCAAGAAAAGCAGUUGCUGCCAGAAUGCUAGGGAAGAGUUUACAAGCUGGGGAUGCUGUGUUUGAGAGGGUGUUUAAUGCUGUCUACUCAGCAUUGCGUGGAGUUGUGCUCGGGGGAACCGGUGCUCGAGGGAAGAAAUUAGCUGAAAUGGCAUUACUGAAAGUUGGGGCUGGUGCUCUGACUGAAAGGGUAAUGGAAGCUGCUCGGGUUUUGAUUGUGACAGCAAGUGUAUCAGUUGGUGUUCAUGGGCCAUGGUAUAAAUAUUUGACUGACAACAUGUGAACAUGAAUUAUUUGUUACUUGAAUAAUAUUACACACGUAUCUGUCUGUACAUAGGAGUGUGUAAAGUUGUAAGCUGUAUUGUAGGUUCCUGUAAAGAUUAGUGGAUAUGGUUGUCGUAAGCAAUGCUUUUGAUGUAAAUGAACAAGAAUACGCUCAUGUGAAAAGAUGAUAUGGUUGUCUUUAGCAGAAUGCUUUUGAUGUAAAUUGUGAAAAUCCAAGUUAUAUAUUAAUUGCUAAUAUAUUAUGAUUGGUGAUCUUACAAAUAUUUAUGUGUAGUUUUGUUAAAAUUGUGAUAAUCGAAGACGGUUAUUUCAAAGAUUCUCAAAUUGCAAAGAAAAUGUUGCAUAAGUUAGAGAAAUGAAGAGUUAAAUAAAGGCGAACACUCCCUCCAGUACUCUUAAUUUAGUAAAAAAGGCGAACACUCCCUCCAGUACUCUUAAUUUAGUUGGAGAGAAAUAAAAAGUUUAAGUUGUUCCAGUAGGAUUUGAAAGAAAAUCUAAUUUGAAUAGAAGCUCGUUUUAGAGCGAUCGGUACAAAUAGGGGUGCAUAACCUAAUCAAAUUGUUACCGUUACCCAUUAUAAAAAUUUGGUUUUGGAUAACCAGUUUUGUUAUUGUUUAUCCAAAUUUUACUAUGCAUUAAAUUUUUAUAUUUGUAUGUUUUCAUGUUUUAUCACAAUAUAAAUUAAUUUUAUAAUUUAAAUUUUUUAAAUUUUAUAAAAAAAUAUUUUAAAAAUAAAAAUCAUAUUUUUUUUCUUUUCACCAAAAUUAUUAUAUUUGGGUUUUUUUCGAAAAAAUUAUAUUUUAAAUUUUUUUCAAAUAAAAUUAUUAUUUUUUUCUAAAUAAAAAAGAUAUUUUUUAUCAAAAAUAUUUUAUAUUUUUUUCAGUAAAAAAAUGUUUUUAAAAAAAAUAGAUUUUUUUUAUUUUCAGAAUAUAAUUUUAUUAUUUUCAAUUUUUUUAUAUAUUUCUUUUUUCUGAAUAUUUGUUAUUUUUUUUCUUUAAAAAAUUGUUUUCUUUUAUGUUUUUUAAAUUAAAAAAAAUAUUUUAAAACCUCAUAAAAUUUGUUUAUGAACAAUUAUGAGAGAUUUUUGAAAUUUGAAUUUUAUAAACAAUUAUGAUUUAUAGAGAUAUGAUUCAUAAUUAUUUUAUUUUAUAACCGUUUUUAUGUAACACAUCAUACUUUGGAAUUGUUUUUAAUCGAGAUAUUAUUUGUGGUGAUUAUAAAAGUCAAAUUUAAAGUAAUUUUUUAAAAUAAAUAUUUUUUUAUGAGAUUAAUUACUAUACACUGUCAGUGUAAAAAAAUUUACACCGUCGAUUCAUCACCAUCAUCCGUUUGUAUUAUUUUAUAGAUUUUUAAAAUAAAAUUCAAAUUUCUUUUAAUAUCCGACGUCUAUAAUUAACUGACGGUUUAAAAUCUUUUUACACUGACAGUGUAUUUCAAUUAAACUCUUUUUUUUAUAUAAAAUAGUUUUAUAAUUAGUGAAAAUAAGAAAGUUAGUUAAAAGAAAAUAAAAUUAUUUUUGAUAUAAAAUUAUUUUUUUAAAAAUAUAGUUUUAAAAACUAUUUUUUUUAUAAAAUUGGUUUUGAAAUUGAUUUUUUUAAGAAAAUAAAAAAUUGAUUUUAAAGAAAUUGAUUUAAAACUAUUUUUUAACUCUUUUUUUUAAAAACCGGUUAAAAACCGAACCGAUCCACUUAUAAACCGAUUUCUAAAAAAUAAAUUGAUUUUAUUAAAAUGGUUUUAAGAACCAAACCAAAUCAUAUAUAUGGUUCAAUUUGGUUUGGUUCAUGAUCCAUGCACACCCCUAGGUACAAAGACGUCUCUUGGUCAAGAUAUUUGAAGAGUCGUAUAGAGCAAUGUUGUAUGAAUAAUUUAUAUAAGAGGAGAGCCAAUGUUGCAUGGAUAAUGGAUAAUUUACAUUGGAGAUUGAUAAAGGCAUUAGAAUUAUAUAAAAUUACGGAGAUCAAUCAUUGAGAAAAUUUUAAUAAAAUUUGGAGUUUGGAGUUAUGAAAUGUCUAAUCCAAGUUCUUGUGUUUGUUUGUCUGAAUGUUAAAUUUUAGAUCUUAAAAUUUGAAGAUUACACAUGCGAGAAUUUUAAUAAAAUUUGGAGUUUGAGGAUAUGAAAUGUCUGAUCCAAGUUCUUGCGUUUGUCUGCCUGAACGUUAAAUUUUAGAUCUUAAAAUUUGAAGACUACCCAUGUUCAAUCAUGGUUAAGGAUGCAUGAUCUAUUUUUAGAGCAUUGAGAAUUAAUUAUUUUAUUUGUAAAUGUUUUUGGCAUUAACAAUCCUUUAUCAAUUGCUGAGUUUACAAGAAGAAAAAAUUAAUAGGCAUUUUACAUGUGUGCAAAUAAACCUUAACAAGUUAAAUACUCUCCAUGAUCGCAUUUUGGUAGAACGGGAGGGUUAUACAGUCUUUGUUGAAUUGAAAUAUGAGGGUUUGUCUUUCUUUGUUUGAUCAUUGUGUGUUGGUCAUAGUCUUGAUAAAUGUUGGAAGUUAAAAUGUAAAAAUGUUGAGAAGUCUUUGAUUAAAUAAUCUAUAAGAUACACACCUGAGAAGUUCAAACAAGCUAUACCAGCUAAUGACAGUGUGAAAGACAUAAAUAAUGACAAAUUUGUAAAUGUCAUAGUGAAUGACGUAGUAAAUUAUGACUCAUAAAUUUGAAAAAGGCAGGAAAUCAUAAUCUUGAAAGUGACGUAGAGAAUGAUAACUUUGUUGUGGUCAUUCAAGCAGAGAAAAAGGUCAUUUUACCUUUGGGCAAGAAUAAUAAUUUAUGGAGUGAUGAAGAUAAUGCUCCUAAGUGACAUCAAACAAAAUUUAUUUUGAUCAAGAAAAAUGGUCGGAGAAGAUAUAAACUUACUCAUCUUACAACAAAAAUUAACACCUGAACCAUGUCGGAUUUGUUGGAACAAGCAACCAUAAGAUUGAUGAAACAAUGAUAGAGUAAUUUAAUUUGAGAGAGAGAGAGAGAGAGAGAGAGAGAGAGAGAGAGAGAGAGAGAGAGAGUUAAGGGUGAGAUAUUAUACUUGCAUUAACCAGAGUGAGAGUGCACCCUAAACACUUAUAUAGAGGUUACAAAUCAAGUGGAGUACAAUUUGACCAAGUACAAUAGCAUAAAAUGCAAAAACUCGGACUUGUAACCGGUUACACCAAAAUAUGUAAUCGAUUACACCUGACACUGAAAUAAAACAAAUUUAUUCAGCUUCAGUGGUAACCGGUUACACUUUCGAAAACUCCAAUUUUCUACUACUGGAAAGCAUAUCAGCACCAGCUGUAACUGGUUACACAUCUGCAGUAACCGGUUACAACACUUGAAUUACUUCAACAAACUUCAACACACCAUCUUAAUUCAAGUGCUGCAAGUCUACCAUGUUCAUGCUCAUCUUCAACCUCUUGAAUACAUCAUAUGCGACUCCCUUAGUCAGCAAAUCAGCAACUUGGUCUUCACUCCUGCAAUACCCCAAUCGUAACCUCCCUUCGCUAACAAGUUCCCUCAAAUAAUAGAGUCUCAUCUCAAUGUGCUUUCUCCGCCCAUGUGCAAUUGGGUUCCUAGAAAGAUUAAUCGCGAAAAUAUUGUCAAUUAAGAGUAUGAUAGCCUAACCCUCAAUGCUUCCCAACUCCUUCAAUUGAUUCAUAAGCCAUACGGCUUGGCACAAACAUAGUGAAAUGGAAAUGUACUUAGCCUAACAAGAUGAGAGUGCAACUACCGUUUCCUUCUUCGAACACCAAGAGAUUGGUGUCGCACCAAACAUAAAGAUGUAUCCAACUGUAGAAUUUCGAUCAUCUUUAUCUCCGCACCAGUUAGAAUCGGUAAAAUCGAGCAAAUUGCAUUUUCUGCCCGUAUCCGCUGCGGGAAAGAGAAUUUCGAAGCCAACAAAACCUUUGACAUAACGUAGGAUUCUCUUGACUGCUGCCAAGUGAGACACCUUCGGUCUCGCCAUGAAUCUACUCACAAUACUCACACUAAACGCCAAGUUUGAUCGCGUAUUGCAUAAGUAACACAAGGGUUCAAUCGACCUCCUAUAUUGAGUUGGAUUAACAUCUUCCUCAUCCUCAUUCUUAGACAAUUUCAAUCUUGGUUCAACUGGAGAAAUGACAGCAUUGCAAUGCUCUAUUUCAAACUUUUUCAAUAUCUCAAGAGUGUAUCUCUUUUGAUGCAUGAGCCAUCCCAUUUUGGACUUGUGGAACUCAAUGCCAAGAAAAUAAGUUAUGAGACCAAGAUCUGUCAUCUCAAAUUCAUCCAGGAGUUCACCCUUGAACUUUGAAAUGCACUCACCGUUGCUGCCUGUGAUCAAUAAAUCAUCCACAUAUAGACAAAGAAUGAUUACUCCUUCAAUCACAUUCGUCUUCACAUAUACUCCAUACGCCGAUACACAUUUCUUGAAGCCAAUGUCCUUUAGGAAACCAUAAACUCUUUUAUACCAAACUCUUGAAGCUUGCUUCGAACCAUAUAACGCUUUUCUCAACUUGUAGAAUUUCAACUCUUGAUCUUUCACAACAAAAUCAGGGGGUUGUCCUACAUAUGCCUCCUAUUCAAGUGGUCCAUUCAAAAUCGCGGAUUUGAUAUCCAUUUGAUAGAUAGGUCAAUUAUGGUUAUUUGGAAUACAAACAACAAGCCUAAUGGUUUCGAUCUUAGAAACUGGUGCAAAUACCUCCUCAAAUUCUAUGCCUUCUUUUGCAAAAAAAACCUUAGCCACUAAUCAAUCCUUAUGCUUGAUUAUCUCACCCUUGAGAUUUGCCUUCACUUUGAACACCCACUUCACACCAAUUGGCUUCUUCCUUUUUGGUAGAUCAACGAGCUCCCAAGUAUUGUUUUUCUCAAUGGAUUUCAGCUCCUCUUUCAUAGCACAAAUCAACUUUGGAUCACUUAAAGCCUCUUCCGUAUUAAUGAGUUCAGAUUCAACCAUAAGUGAAAAAUGGACAAAAUCACCAUCAUCAUUGACUUCAUUGGCACGAAACAACUCACAAUCUUGGAGUCUCUGAGGCAAACCCCUUUGCCUUGUUGAUCUUCUGACAUUUCCUUCAUUUUGGGCUUCAACGACAUGUUUUGUACUUCCUCCUACCUGAGAAUCUGGAAAUUCGAACUUGUAACCGGUUACAGGAUUCUGGUAACUGGUUACAGCCUGCAUGUAACUGAUUAUAGUUUGCUGGUAACUGGUUACGCCCUGAUGCACCUGUUUCAUUUCAUCGAUUACAACAUCCCAACUGAUCAUGAUCCUCCUGUUUACAACAUUAAACAAUUUGUAACCACCGAUAGAGUGAUAUCCAACAAGUAUCACCACCUCUCCCUUGUCAUCCAACUUCUUUCUAAGUAGACCCGGAACAUGUCGGUAUGCAAUGAAACCAAAUUCUUUCAAAUGGUUCAGAUUUGGCUUGAACCCGGACCAUGCUUCCUUCGGGGUUACAUUUUCCAGCUUCUUUGUAGGGCACAUAUUCAAAAAUAGGCAGUUGUAGAUACCGCUUCUCCCCAUAGCUCUUUCGGCCACACCAUUUUUUUGUGUGGUGUAUAGGGUGAUCUUACCUCAUGUACAAUCCCUUCUUGAUCAUAAAACCUCCCAAAGUCAAUAGAGACAUAUUCGCCUUCAAUGUCUGUUUUGAGCACUUUGAGCUUAUGACCACUUUGCCUCUCAACCAAGAACUUAAAUUUCUUAAACACUUCGAAUACCUCAUCCUUUCUCUUGAUUAGGUAUGUUCAUAGCUUUCUACUAUAGUCGUCAAUAAAUAUGACAAUAUUUAUUUCCACCAAUGUAAUCUACUUGCAUCGGUCCAUAAACAUCCUAAUACACCACCUCAAGGUGAUUCUUGGUUCUCCGAUCUGCAUCCUUGCUGAAUUUUCCCUUAUGUUGCUUAACUUUCACACAUUCUUCACAAAUUUCAGUUGGUAUAUUGAUUGAUGGCAGCCCCGUUACCAUAUUGUUCCUUUGUAAAUCUCUGAGAUCUCUAAAAUUGAGAUAACCAAGACGAUAAUGAAACAUCUACUCUUCUUUACUUGCUGCAGUAGAAAGUUAUCUAUGCUUCAUAACCUUCAACCCAAUCUUGAAGGUUCUAUUGGCAGCCAUAAGCGCUUUAAGGACCAAAACUCUCUUUGCAUCCAAAAUGUAACACCCAUUUUUCUACCCCAAAAUACUUAACAUAUAAUCAGAGUAAAUAAGCACGCAUAUAAACAAAAGGGCGUCACAUCGACGUUUUCAAAAACUAAAAGCUUUCAAAAACCAAACAUCAUUCAUCAUCAAUAAAGCACGCAUAUAAACAAAAGGGCGUCACAUCGACGUUUUCAAAAACUAAAAGCUUUCAAAAACCAAACAUCAUUCAUCAUCAAUAUACAAUACACCUGGUCAUUUAAAAUAACACAUUUCAAUUAUCACGAAUAUUCAAGAAUAUGCGUUCGCAGUGGAAAAUAAUGAAUAUCCAUGCAUUUCAUAAAAUGAUUCAUGUCCCAUACCAUGAUCAUCUCUCAAUAAUCUCCUCAAGAUAACUAAAACCAUAUCCAGAAUAUUUGGCAUUAUGGUCUCUCAAACAGCAAUUGCAAAUAAGCAUGUUCACAAGUAAUAAUAUAAUACUUAUCCAAAUAGGAUACGAGUUCAAUACUACUAAUCUACCCCGUGUUACAUGACCAGAGCAUUGACUCACUACUUAGUCUCUAAAACAAAGCACCGAAGCUCUCCAACUAAUCUCGAGUGAGCUACCUUCCACUUACUUCAGCAAUACUACUCUGGAGUAUCUGCACGUUGCCAUGUAAAGCAACAUUCCAACAGAAGGGUGAGAAUUCAAGUCAUUAUGAAGAAGUAUAAUAAGGCACAAUGAUUAAAUCAACAACGAACGGAAUUCAUCACACCUUGUAUAACCAUGUCAAUAAUAUUAACUAACAUUUAUUUCACAUGUUUCAAGCACACAUAAAAACUCAGGGAGUAUAAUAUUACAAUCCAAUACUAUAUUCCCAAUUAUACACAUAACUACAAUUAUCACAUAAUCACAUAUUUUACCAAAUUAUGUAUCCAAACAUCACCAAAUUCAAUUACUAUAUCCCAUACACACCUCACAAUCACAUCAAUGCAAACAUUCAAUUAUCACAUAACUCUAAUGUGACUCAAUGCAAGACAUGUGACUCUAUGCAUGUGGUACCGCAAUGUGAACCCAACGUUUCACCGCUUUCAUAACAUUCCACAUAUCACCAUAAUUCAACUCUAUGAAUUAUCCACCAAUGGUACAUAUACACAUUCAUAACAAUAUAUCAUUCACAAAUAUAGACUAAUUAUCAAAUACGCACACUUAGAUUUCAUUCCAAACGAAUACAACUUUUAAAAUCUCAAAUUUUUCAUUUUUCAACAGUGGUAACCGGUUAACGCUCGGAGGGUAACCGGUUAACACAAAACAUAAUCAACUUCCUGCGCAGAUUUUCAAGCACGUAACCGGUUACUGCUCGGAGGGUAACCGGUUAACAUAAAAUAGAAUCAAUUUUCUGCGCAGAUUUUUAAGCAAGUAACCGGUUAACGCUCAGAGGGUAACCGGUUAACAUAAAACAUAAUCAAUUUCCUGCGCAGAUUUUUAAGCAAGUAACCGGUUAACACCCUGUGGGUAACCGGUUAACACAAAAACAGAAUGCAAAAUUUUCUGCGUUUUUCAUCGUUGGAGGACUUUCGGACCUCCGAUUUCGAUUCCGUAAAAAGCCAAACGCUCAGAAAAUUAUAACUCAUACCAUACUCUAAGUAUAUAAAGUAAAUUUUCAGUUUUAACACAAUUAAAUCACCACAAAUCAAGAAUACUCAUCAAAACCUAACAAUUUCAAACAACCAUACAAAAUUAGGGAUUUUAACCUAAACAUACUUCUACUCAUUGCCUCAAUCAUACUAACCCAUAAUAAUAAGGAUUCUCCCCCUUACCUAUUUAAUAUUCUUGAAACUCUAGCGUCUCUCUUGUUCUUCCCCUCUUCUCCUUACUUUUCCUCUUCUUUUUCUCUAUUGACGUCAAAUGAUCAAAUGAAUCCUACUUCUCACUCUCCUCACCUCUUAUAUCCUAGUAUUAUAUUUGGGCUUAAAGAAUGAUACCUCUAAUUUAAUUAUUAGGCCCAAUAAUACCUAGUACUAUAAUAUCUCUAUUUAAUUCAAAUAAAUUAAACCAACUCGAUAUGCACACCAAGUUAAUUAAUUCAAUUAUUCAUUAUAUCUCAUAUCAACUAAAUAAUUAAUUAACACGCCAAAUUAAUUAAUAUAAUCAAUUAUUAUACUACAUAACAACCAAUUAAUUAAUUAACUCUCUAAAUAAAUAAAAUAAAAUAUAAUAAUAAUAAUAUACGAAAUAAUUACUAAAAUUGGGUUGUUACACAAAACGCGCAGCCCCUUAUUUUCCAUAGGAAUCUUGUAACUCUUCUCGAGCAAUUGGUCAAUGCUUAUAAUAAGGUUACAUUUAAUUCCAAGAAUAUACAAGACAUCUUUGAUAAAGUAAUGUCCACCAUCUCUUCCCAUGAUCAAAAUAUCAUUGAUAUCGUCGACCAUUAGAGUGGUGUCAUCCAUAAAUUUUGCUUUGUUCUUCAUGGCACGAUUGAUUUUGACAAACCAAUCUUUUCUUCCCCUCAUAUGAGUUGAACAACCUGAGUCCAAAUAUCAUUCCUCAUUGCAUUGAACUCCUUUUCUACUCAUCAUGACUAUUGUACCCCAAAAUUUGCUCUCCCCUUUUCACUUUUCAUAUGACCCAGGACUUAAGAUUAACUCGCAUUCAUAUGCAUCAUGCAUUCAUGUUAAUACAAUCUCAUAGAUUCAAAGCUUGUGGUUAUUUAAAACUGGGAGUUUGCCUAAGUAUUGAAGUCUAGCUCAUGUGAAGGGAAACCCUAAUUUCAUGCUCUCUUAGACUUUGGUUCAGGAAGGUCACAAUCACGCCACUCAUUUAUGCAUUCAAAACCUUGGCGUUGGGUCAAGCAACCUUUUUCAAACCCGAUUAAUUUCAUUUCAACGUGAUUCAAAUCUUUUCCCGAUUACCGUAACAUUGAAAUCUUUUUCUUAACAAACACAAAAGAACCUUCAAGUCUAACAUUCCAAUGAAACUUUCAAAUGAUCGGUCCCGAUGCAUACAUCUUAGACUAGUUGUUUAUUCUUUCUUUCAUUCCAAAAACACUUAAUAUAAACUUGGACAAGAAAUGACCAUUAGAGUCUAACAUUUUAAUGAAAUCCUUUAACAAUUGAUUUUGAGACCCACAUCUCGUUCUUAUCGAGCAUUCGUUGUCCAUCAAAUAAAUUUUAUAAAUACCUUGAAUGAAAAAGGAAGAUUGAAGUCUCACACUUCAUUAAUCUCCUAAAUAGUUGAUUUUGGGACUCACAUCUCAUUUUUAUCGAGAAACCUAUUUUCUCACCCCAUGCAACUAGAAACCUUUUCAAAAGGGACAUUGUCUAAAAACAAGCGUUAAAGUCUCCCCCACAAACAUACAAAUCAAUGUUUAUCCGUUGGAGCACAAUCUAAACACAUGUUCAAUAAAACAAAUCAACCCAUAAAUCAUAGUUUUUUACGCCAAAUUACAAAGCUUUGAGUUUCUCAUUGUAUCAAUAUUUUUAUUUUUAUUUUUUGAAAUAUAUAAAAUUCAAUGACAAUUCUGUUCGAAUCAUUUUUUCACUAGCACACGAAGGAUCAUUUUCUUUUUUAUAUUUCUAGCCUGAGUCAAUCCAAAAAUUUUAAAACAAAAAAAAAUUGAAGCAGUCAUUCUAUAACUUUAGAUUGCUCAAUAGUUCGAUAGAGGUUUAAAAAAUCUGAUUUUUUUAAGUAAGCAUUUAUCCAUCAAUUGGUUUAAAUCCAGAGGGACAUCAACGGUAAGAAAAAAAACACUUGGCAGUAACCCUACUAAUUAAACCCCGUUUCUCUCUGACUAAGUUUAGUUAAAUAUUAUUCUGAAUUAGAAAUAAUUAGACUAUCAAGACUAAUAGAAUAAUUGCAAAUUCCAAUUUAUCAAGACUACCAACUAUAUACAUUAUCACCAAAUUGAAAUCGCACUUUUUCACAUGCGUCAAUCAAUUACAUUGACGCCAGAAAUAAAUUAGAAAGAAAAUAUCUUUAUUUGUACCUUUCAUUGCCAUCCAGUUAUCCACAGUUUUUCUAACUGAUCUGCUUUUACUAUUUAUCUUCCCUGCAAUGCCCUGUCGUUGGUACAAGAUUCUGUUUCAGCAACCUUAAAUUACUGAAGGUUGAUCCAAGAAAAUCCCAAUAACAUUCAUAUGGUGAAGGGACCAAUACAAUAAUUAUAGACAAUCAACAUACACCGUAUCAAGAUACUGUCCAUUGAGGUAGUACUCUUCCUGCAGGAUUUGUACCAGGUGCUUUAUCUAAUACGAUGUUAUCAAUGUUGACACAGUCUAGGUCCUCAUCAAGGCACCCAUGGAAAUAAUCCUCCUCUUCUUCUGAAUCAUAAAUCACAACCUUUCUAAUUUGUCUCUUUACCGUCCUUUUCUUGGUGCGACCAGUAAUUUGGAUUAAGGCCUCAUCAUCCUCAGCAUUUGAAUCCGGGUCUCUGUUUGCCUCUCGUCUUCUUUUGGCCGAAUCAGUGCUGCCUUUGCUGCCACUACUGUUUUUAUCUGUAUUGUAGUAUUCAUGUAUGGUAUUCUCAAUGGUUUCCAGUAACCGGUCCCCAUAAUUGUUUACUUUAAUCCUGUGUUAUAUAGCAAAACGUCAACGAAAACUGGUUCAGUAUAAUCAAGGAAACUGUAGUAUUCCUAGAACGAACUUACUUGCCAAUGCCAUUGAUAUCAAGAAGUUCCUCCUUUGUUCUCGGUACUUUCUUGCUUAUCUGCUGCAACGUAGCAUUGCUAAAUAGAAACAGCAACUUAUCGGAUGCUUUAAUACAAAAAGGGGUUAAAAGUUAAACUGAUUCUUGUAAAAGAAGAGGAUAAAAAUAAUAAUUUACCCAAAUAUGUGAUAAGCAUAAACACCCUCUCCAGCUUCUCUACAGAGAGCUGUCCGCAACAUCCGCAAAGCAGUGUACAACUUAGCUGAUAGAUCCUGAAAUAGGUUUUUCAUAAGUAUAAUUCAACAAUAAGAAAUUUUAAUAAAACUGGAAGAAAAAAAAAAUAUUAUACCAAGUCUAUUUCAGUUUGAGGUUCGUCAGGAAUAUCAAUAGGAAGAUUCAGCUUCGCAGAUGUCAGAGAACCUCUGGCUGGAGUUAAAUCACAUUUCACAGGCUUUGAUGCUUUCACAGAAGAUGGGAAUCUGAAAAAAAAAUAGUUAAAGAUGCCACUGAGCAGAAUAUGAAUAGGUAAAAACAUGCAAGCAAAGUGAACUUGAGGCCAGAGCAGGCUGAAGCAGAAAUUCAGGUGAAAUUGAGAUCAAGUUAAAUAUAUCCGAGGCUUACAGCAUUGACACCCUACUCUGGCAAAUGAUAUCAUAUUUACAUAAGCCCUCACAAACAAAAGUAAAAAGGAAUUUCAUGUUAAGUUCUUUAACCAAUGAGCAUUGGCACCCUGAUUCACAAAUUUAAGCAUUAAAUGGCUUGAUAAGAAGGGCAAACCUCAAUAUAAUUCUUUGCCCACCAAACAAUACAGUUCGGACCUUCUGCUCAUUUACCUGAAAAACAAGUUAUAGAAUUAGACAGCUCGCAGUUACUGGAAUAUAAUUGUGGAAAGUAACUAAGCUAUAUCACACAUUUGAAGCACAAUAAAAAGAAUAUAUAUAUAUAUAUAUAUAUAAUAUAUUAUAUUUUAUUAAUAUAGAGAGAGAGAGAGAGAGAGAGAGUAAAAUUGCAGCAUACAAACAUAUUAAAGUAGACUGAGUCGAGUACCUUCAAUACUGAUGAUACUGAUCCAUAAAAAUCACUUUUCUUUACCUCCUCCGCGAGAAAAUCCUCAACAACAAGAUGAUGCAAGAUACGGGAAGCCUCACCCUUCGCUAGAUGCUUCCCAGCACCAUGAUGGCGCACAGUCUCGUGUCGGUGUUUCUUGACCUAAUUUUGAUGUUAAAAAUACAAGAUUAAAGAAGAUGAGUAAGGAUCUUAGUAAAAGAAAGAAUAACAAAGAAUGAAAAACAACAAAUAUGAUAAUGCUUAUUGGCAUACCAUUUGGCUUAAGGAACCACGAUAAACCUCUAAUAUAUGAGAUGCCGAGACCUUCUGUCCCGUUAGCUUAACGAGUUCAACCUAAACAGAUGGCAGUCAAAACUCAGAACAAGUGGACUCAAAUAUUAUAAACUAAUUAAAAUUCAUGAAGUGGAAAGGUUAAAAUAAUAUAUGGAUAAAAUAUGAUUCCAAACCAAUUGUUUUGCCAUUUCGGUAACAUCCUUCUCAAUGAAACUUGUGACCUUCAUGCAAUUAUCACAUGUUUUCUGACAGGUUGAAGAAUCAAACUUCUCCCCAAAAUGAACGAGCUGAAUAAAGCGCCGACAAUCAACAUCAUUUUCACAAUAACUGACCUGAAAAGUCCAAAAUGAAGAUUUAGAAAUAAAUAUGUGUGUGUAUGAUGUAGUAUUUGAAAUUGAAAAUGCUUAAAAAUAUAGUACCAUGCGCAAAAGGUUUUCGGUGUUUGUCUCCAGUAACCUUCCUGGAUUAGUCGCAUUUAAACGACUGUAUCCAGAUGUCAUGGGACUUUGCUCCACAGUUCCUGCGCUUAACAUAUGCUUAACUCGAAUCUGUAAACAUGAGAUAAAUCAAGAUAUAAGAAAUAAAGGAAGGAUAAUAGACUCUAAGUUGUCCCUUGUUUCAUAUGAUGCUGGCAAGUGAUAAGAGUGAUAUAUUAGUUUCCAAAAAAGAUAUUCUAGUAGUGUCGUAAUCAAUACUAACAUAGUCACUGUAGCUAUAAUAUAAUACACAGGAUGCAGGCUGGCCAUCUCUACCAGCUCGUCCACAUUCCUGAAAGGAAAAACAUUAAAGUACAUGUAAGCCAAAAGAAUCAAAAUCCAUGCCUAAGACAUUCUUUGAAAAUCUACAGGUACCUGAUGAUAACCUUCAAUAGAUUUUGGGAGGGAGUGAUGGAUUACAAAGCGGACAUCGGGUUUGUUUAUCCCUGAAACAUCAAUUUUAAAAAUGAUUUCAUUCAACUGAUCAAUGCAAAAAGAAGCUCCAAAGAUGCAAACAUACCCAUUCCAAAUGCAACAGUAGCACAAAUUAUAUUGAUUUCAUCUUUGCUCCAUUGCUUUUGAACAAAAGAACGUUGAGCAGGAUCCAUAUUCCCGUGAUAAAAUGCACAUUUAUGCCCAUAUUCCUGAACAAUGCACAAAACCAGAUAAUGAAUUCACAAGCCACACAAUUAGAUGUCACCUUUGCAUUUACAUAAAGAGCACAGAAAGGUCACAAGAGUGUGGUAAUGGUUUAUCACAUCCCAUAAUCAUGCAGAGAUAAUGAAACACAAACAACAAAGAAUGAUGAAGGGGAAAGAUAAAGACAAAGAAAAGCUAGAACACAAGAAAACCAGACAGAUCAUCACAUCAAUCCUUUAAAGUUUAAAUCACUAUGGAGCAUUGAGAAGACUAACCUGUAAUUUUUCAGCAGCCUUUUCACAGUCCAUUCGUGAAAGACAAUAGAUGAUGCCACAUUCAUCAAAAUGAUUUUCCCUAAUAAAUUUGUCAAUAUCCUCUAAACACUUUUUGGUCUUGGGAACAACGGAAUACCUGCAAAGUUCAGAUCAAACAUGAUUUAUCCAUUCAAGGUUUAGUAAAAGUUGGUACUUGUUUAACACACCGUAAAUUUGGGCGAUUAAAACUUUGCCGAAAAACAAUGCAGUUAACAAGACCGAGUGCUUGCACAACAUCUUCUUUUACACUAGCUGUUGCUGUAGCUGUUAAAGCUAAAACAGGAGUAUUUGGGAAUUUCUGUUUCAAUACACCAAGUCCCUGGGAGAAUUAAAGAAUUGAUUACAAUUUAAACAAUAUAUAACAUGAUAUUACAUCAUUUUGGAAAGUAUAAAAGCUCCAACCUGAUAAUCUGGUCUAAAAUCAUGCCCCCAUUGACUCACACAGUGAGCCUCAUCAAUUACAAUCCUCGAAAGCAACUCACGAACAUAUAAACUCUCCAAGUGUCGCAGAAGAUUAUCACUUCUGCAGUAGUAUACAAUAAAAGUGGAGUUAUGAAGUGAAAAAUAUGGUUCUUAAGCAAAAAUGUGUGCAUACCAAAAAAAAAUUCAAAGAGUAAGCAGCUAUCAACAAUGACACUAACCUCGCAAUCUUUUCGGGUGUCACAUAUAACAACUUAUAUUUACAAUAAUCAGAAUUAAGUUCUCUAAGAAUCUCCUGUUGUUCAGUCCAUUCCAUAUUGGCACUUAAGUAAGUAGCAGGUAUAUUUGCCUUUUGACAAAACAGAAGGAGCAAAUAAGCAAGCAUACAUCUAUGAGAAAAAUACAUGAAGAAUAAAAGCAUGUCAUUUGAAAAUUACUAAUACCUGCAAUAGGUGCAUUAUUUGAUCUUGAAUAAGGGACACAAGGGGAGAAAUUACUAAUGUUAUGCCUGGAUUAAUAAGAGCUGGUAGCUGCAUCAAAAGACAGUACAAAGUUGUAAGAACACGGUAAUAUCUAAAUUUUCCAUUAAGAUAUAAUUAAUAGAAGAAACUAAAUCAUAUCAACAUAGGACUGCAAUACAACUCUGUAAGAACACAGUAAUAUCUAAAUUUUCUAUUACUGUGCAGAGGAUUGCAAUACAAUAUCAACAUUGUAACAGAAACUAAAUCAUAAUUCAUAAUGCCAAUGCUGUUUAGAUAUAAUAACAAAAAUGGACACAGAUCCAGCACUAAAACCAGUUGAGUUGAAUCUAUAGAAAACUUGUGAAUGAGAAAGGAAGAAGGCCAUAACUCAAGACCUCUUGAAAAAACAUAUUACCUGAUAGGUCAAACUUUUUCCUCCACCGGUGGGCAUCAAAACAAAAACAUCACAUCCCUUCAUCGUGGCAUUAAUAAUCUCUCUUUGAUUGGGGCGAAAUGAGGGAUUUCCAAAUACUUUUUUGUUAUUAACCUGAAAGCACAAACAGAAAUAUAUAUACAACAAUAAUGAGUUGUAUACACUAGAAUCUGGCAAAAAUUCACUUUAAAUACCUCUAAUUCUCUAGUCCAAGAAAAAUCCCGACUGCUCCACUGUUUAUCUCCAGAACCUUCACUGUAAUUAACAUCAAUAAUCUUUGGGAUGAAUGGCUCCCUCUCUACUGGACCUGGCGGCAUGCCAGACAUGUCUGCAGAAAAGAACGAAGACUGGUGCGAUGGCUCAUAUGUCCCAUUACCUAUAUAAGGCUGGGCAUCAUAUCCAUUUGGCCCAUUGCUGAUGACAUUUCGCUGGGGUGUUUCAUACACGGAUGAUGUAGGUGGUGCCAUGGAUGUAGCAAGAUGUGACUUUUGUCUUUCUUCUUCAAGAUUACUGGAAUGAAUAUAUUUUUCAAGCUGUUGAAUUUGCUUAUUCAGCCGUGACCUAGCAUUAGCAACGAAUUUUACUUUCAAUCCGAUUGCUAUUCAGUUCAAAACGGAUAGAGCAAUUUUUUCCAAGUAUAAUAAUGAAGCAUAAUAAUAAAAGCAACUAUGAUGGAGCCUUUAGCAAUUUUCUUGAAUGCAGUAUAUAUUAAAAAAUGAAAAUGUCAUGGAGGGGAAAUAAUUCCAAGGGAAAGGGAAAGGCACACCUGUCUUGGCGAAGCUUUUCUAUCUGCACAGAACUGAGAUUUUCAACAUUGUCAAGCAGUUCAUUAGAGAUUGCAAUAAGAUUAUCCUUGAACUCCUGCAAAUGACUUGCUGCUUCAGGGCAUAGCCCUAACUGCAUCCAGUUUCAAAAUUAGGCAUAGCAAUCUAACAAAUGAGCAAGGCAACUCAUGAUACAACAAAACACAUCCAAUCAAUACCUUGUAUCCGUGUAUGCAAUCCAGGCACAGCUCUGGUGGAAAAAAAGUAUCUCCCUGUCUGGCAAAGUUAUCCCUACCUGGAGUUGGUGCAAUAGAAGGAAACUUUGACAUCGGGGGUUGAGGAGUGCAUGAGGACUGGUAUUUCUCAACAAUUUGGUCAACAUCAAUGCUCUAAAAGAGAGAUAAUGCAUGACAUUAAUGAAGAGAGAGACAUCUGUAUCUAUAUGGAUGUAAACAGUUAAGACUUAACAAAAACUUGAGUAAUGGACUUAGAAAAAAAAAAUAAACAAAAAGCAAAACAGAACAAUCAUGCGAAAAAGCGGGAAUAAAAGGACAGAAUUGCAGAAUGAAUAGCAGUGUUAAAAGUGCUGAACAGUUUCAACUUCGCAAAAUAGUUGGGCAACCUACAUUACCUUCUAGUUGAAUUACUCAAUGCUAAUUCAUCAGCAAAGUAAUAAAUGUAAACUAUCUUAAUUAAAAUUCCAAAUCAAGUGAACUAAAAAUUUAGUAAGCCCUUUGAUGUUAUAAUUGGUUCAUUCAACCGCAUGAAAAACAAACAUGUUUUAACACAAGACAGACUUUAUAUUAUCGGUCUCCCAAUUUGCCUGCCUUGUAAGAAAGAUCCAAAUGAAUUUGACCCAGUUAGAUCAACCAAAGCACACUAAAUUACCUCGAGUAUGUCAUCGUCAUCAAUAUUAAUAUUAUCAGCUACAAAUUUUGUAGACUCUUUGGGUUGGCUAGUGUACUUUGUGUGAUUGUUCACUGAGCUAUCUAAAACCUGAGAGGUAUGAUUAAUGACAGCUGGAGUUGUUGUGACAUUAAAACGGUUCAGCGUGUCAUUCUCAUAGCUUCCUUGGAAGGACGCUGUUGUCCCGUCGUUGUGAAACUGAGGGGUAACUUUAACAUGUUUUCCGGGUUGGACAUAAUUCCUGCUAGAUAUUUGUAGGUUUGAAAGAGCAAGCCAGGCCUAUUGGAAAUUGUUUCAAAAGGAAGUCAAUGUCAAACAAUAGAAGCUUAAAAUAAGAAAAUUGAGCAUUGAUUUAAGUAAUUCAGAUUUCAGAACCAAAAGAGAGUCCAAUAAAUGUCAAGCCGAGCUUGAUUAAUGUAAUGAUAGGGGUUCAACUUAAACCUUCAUAGAGAGAAGACAGGUUAUGCUUAUGCCUGUAUAAAUUGUCUUAGAAAAAUGACAUUGAUUUGAAAGAAAAACAUGAUUAUCAAUAAUAUGGCAGGAUGAAAAUUCCAAUAAACUGUAAUAAUAUAUUAAACCCGGAAAAUAAAUCACAAUUAAUCAACAAUUAUUUUAUGAUACCUUAUCAACCUGUCCUCUUUGUGAACUUGGAAUAUUUUGACCUUGUCGAACUACAAACCUAAUAGAAAUCAUGUGUCAGAGAGCAAGUUGAAAAUGUGUUAGAUAUCUAGCAUACAAAGACAUAAAAGACAUAACUGGGAUAGUAACAAUACAAAAGAUAAUAGCCUUGAACCAUGUUUGUUUCAAUAUUUCCUGUUGAAAGAAAUUAGAGCACAUAUUCAUUUAUCCAUUCUUUGAAGAGAAACAAGAUGACACCACAACGAGGAGCACUCCCCAAUAUCAUCAAGAGAAAACUAAAAUGUAGGAUGUCGCCGGAGAUGAGUUUGACUAAUUAGAUGACAGUGGAUUUUUUGAAAUUGUUGACUUGUCUUUGGAUGAGUCAGGCAUAGAGGCUGGUUUUCUCAAUGUGGAGUGACUAUGAUAUGAUUUGUAUCAUUUUGUUUUGAUGGAUUUUUCUUCUUAUCGUUGAUUGAAAGUCCUAAGUUUAAAUAAACAUAAAUUUUUCUUCUCAUUUUAAAUUCUUUAUAAAUUAUGCUCAUAAAUUGCAUUAUUAUAUUAAUAUAAUAAAUAUAUAUAGCCGUGUUCGUGUCCUAUGUUUUGUACAUUAGCGGGGUCCUCGUGUCAGUGUCCAUGUCCCCUGUCCGAGUCUAGGCUUCAUAGCUCUGCCCCCACUAUCCGCUAAGCUCUUCCUUUAGCAGCUGCUAUAGUGUUCUACACCGUUAAGCUCUUCCUUUAGCGACCAGCCUCCGCUCCACUAUAGACUACUCUGGGUGAAGGUUUGUCAUACUUAUCAUGAAGCUAAUUCAUAUGUGCACUGCAGAUGCUCUAGCAAAUUUUGGGAGUGAAAGUAUUUUUAAGUUGAUUAUUUUUAAGCAUAUUCCAGCUCAUAUUAGUUUAUCUUAUUGCUGCUGAUAGAAUGGGAGUUGCAACUCCCAUUUGAUUCUGUUGUAAUCAUUUCUAUUUGAAUUCCAAAAAACAGAUUAUAAUACUACUAUACUAUAUAUAUACUAUAUUAUAUAUAUAUAUAUAUUAAUACUAUAUAUAUAUAUAUAUAUAUAUAUUUACAUGUUAUAAUAUUCUAACCAAAACCCUAAUAAACCCAAUGUAGUAGUAGUAGCAAUAAACUGGGAAUGAAAUCCUAAUAAUAAUAAUAAUAAUAUGCAAAACCCUAGUUUUAUCUUUUGACAAGAAACUCCGCUAAAAAGACACGCAGAUUUCUUAGAACAUACCUGCCAUUACCAGACCCGUCUUGUGGUUUCUUAGUCGAGACAGAAAAGAGGAAAUUGGAGUUCAAAAAUUUGGCCUGGGAAGAGAAAUUCUGGUGAGCAUUGGCAUGCUGCAACCAAUUGAGCUGCGGAAUCUGAACACCCUUGGAUGAAUUACUGUGAAUAUUAAAGGAAAAACUUGUUAAUAAGUAGUAAAACGGGGAAAGCGAAAAAGGAUUGAAUGAGAAGAAGCAUUACCCUUGUUGCAUGAUUUGAAUACGAACAACAACGCAUUCAAUUGGUGGUUUGAGCGAUUUGAAAUAUGGAGAAGAGGGAAAAGUUGAGGAAACCCUAGAAAAUGAGAAAGGCGGAGCGAUUUGAGAAUGAUAAUGAGAGAGAAAGCCCGAAAACUAAAUAUAGUUAUGGUAUGAUUGAAUACAAAGUGAAGAGAGUAAAUGGAAGCAGUGAAGUGAUGGAUUGAGACGGAGAGAGAGAUGUGUGUUGAAAAUGUUCCGUUACCGUCGCAUCUGUGGCGGGAACUAUUUCCUCCAAAAAAUCAAACCUAAAUUUUCGUUCCUAUUUUCGUUUUAUCUCGUUUCUAUUAUUCUAAUUUUUAUUUAUUUAAAUUAUUGAUUAAUUUUAUAUAUAUUUGAUUAUUUAAUUUAACUUGAUAUUUCAGAUUUUUUUUAUUCAAAUAACACAGUUUUUCAAAAAUAAUUUCAAAAUAAUUCAUCCUUCAAAAAUAUUUUUAAACUAUGUCACUUCUAAAUAAAAUAAUUUAAAAUAAAAUGGUGGCACCAGAUAAAUUGGCAUCUGCACCUAAAUUUUGAGUGAAGGCGCCGCAUGUAGCGUUGUCAGUCCAAUUGACGCUAGUGUAUAUCAUUUCAAUUGUGGCGUCAAUUUGUCUGACGUCAAUGUGUAUUUUUUUAAUAAAAAUAAUAGAUUAUAUAAAAAAUGAAAUAAUAUUUAAUUUAAAUUAAGUUAACAUACGAAAAUAAAAUUAACACUAACGGGGAUGACCGAGUUGGUCAUACCGAUCAUCGAUUCCACACCUCCUUACUAGCAUAAUUUGUUGCACUCGUUGUUGAUUCACCCUACGUGUUUGAGGAUUUGAGGUCUCUGAAACAUCUCCAAAAUCCAUAAGAAGCUCUUACAUUUCUAAGAAGUCUUGUGUAUGGAUUGAUACAUUGUCGUAACUGAGUUUGUGACGCAUGAUAGAGUAGUUUGAUUGUGUUUAUGGGGUUAGUGGUGUACGGAUAGGACGAUUGAAGUGAGACAUUGGUGUGAACGAUUCAUUGGAGAAAUGUUGAAAUGGUUGUUAUGGUGUUUGAUAGUCAUAUGUUUGUUGCAUGUUUUGGUGUUGUGAUAUUUUAGCAUUCUGGUUGUGGUAUGAGAAAAUUAUCGAUAUUACAUAUUCCUCAGGUAUUUUAACUAUGGCAGGAUGAUGUGUUAAGGGCAUAUGGACUUUAAGUGAUAAGAAAUUAUGUUUCUUAAAUUUAUAUUAAAUAAAUAAAUGUCCAUAUUAAUCAAUUUUAAGAUAUAUUAAUUUAUUCAUUUAAUAUAACAUAAUCAUAUAUAUAUAUAUGUUUAAAAAAAACAUAAACAAACCGUUUUCGCACAAGAACAACACGCAGACAUAAACACGCCUAAAACAAUAACACAAAUAUCAAAUUAAAAAGACUUAACACCACAACAUGUAUGCGAGAUUACAACAAUCAUGUCUGAUAAAUAUUUUUUUUAAUGUCCAUUUACUUCCCAUUUAUGUCACUACUAGUUCAUCCACUUAGAAUUCUAUUGUUAGGGCAAAGAAUGUGCAAAAAGAUGGACAUGACUAGACGCAUGGGUCAUACUUCUCUUAUUUAUGGCACGAUCGCUAGAUUUCUCGUGGCCAUAUGGUUGCUCUUGUUUACCAUGUACACAUCCACGAGCUUAAUCUAACAAUUAAAGAAUAUUACUCUACGACACCUCUCACAUUCACUAGUCGUACACUCAAUAAUUACCUCAUCACAUCAUCAUUAAGCCCACCACUAGAAAUAUUUGGUUGUACACUGAGUUUAAUCAUCCAUAAAUUUUCUUGAUUAAGGAGAAAAUUUUUUUAAUAAAAAAUGAGAUUCAUGUUACCCUAAUAACCUCUUAACCACGUGAAUCUGGUGAGCUUGAAAAAACUAUAACUCUACGUGUAUAUCUCAUGAAACUAUCCCAUUUGUAUCAACUUCCACUCUAUGGUGAAGUGUUUUCACAUUUGCUUUAGUAAAACUCAAACAAAGCAAACAAAUUAACGAUUGUUUCAUUAGGUGAAAUUUUCACUACCUCUUUACUCUAUUAUUAAUAUUGAGGAAAUUGUAAUGACACACCACCCCGUAUGUGAUACCUUUCACAUGUCAUAUAUGACAUGACAAUAUCACUUCUCUAGUUUUAUGUCAAAGUCUUACGAUAUCCUGCCUGCAAAAUUAUGGGUCAUUCAUAAAGGUCUUUCAUUAGCCAAAGAUAUGAAAACUAUUGACUCAACAAGCUACACAAACUCUUUUCUUGGGAUCAUCAGUCUCAUCAAGACCCCUUAAAUAAAUAUCAUAACCUUCUAAUGUUGAUCCAAAAUGUUAAAUAUAUCUUUAGUAAAAACACUAAAACAUCAUAUAUAGAGUUAUUUACAUCCUCCACAGUUAAAGUGUUGAUUUCAUGACUAAGUCAAAUACAACAUCUGAAGUUAAUCUCCUUAUUCAUGAAUCCGUCAACAUCCUUGCCAAGGACGGCACAUUAACUUUAUUUUAAAAAAAAUUGUUUUUCCCCCCGAAUUUUCCUUUUCUUUAGCUUUGAAAACAAUAAAAAAAACAAUGAUGAAUGAUUAUUGUCAAUUUUAAAAAGUUAAAAAUAAGAAUAAGGUACCCUUAAAAGAAAAAUUGACUAACAUCAUCAUUGGACAACGAACUCAAAGUUAUCAUUUCAUGCAGCCACUUUGAUUUAAUGUCAUCAAACUUUGCAUAUGUGAAUUGAAUUUGAAGUUUAUGGCCACCGCUCAGUUCCUCUGUUUCCAUCUUCAUCCUCAGGUAAACCCACCUCAAUCCUCUUUUCACCUUUUUCAUAUCCAUUCACGCGUCUUCCUUUUUCACCAUUUUCCCCUCGCACUCCCAGAUUACCCCGCCGCUACUAUCUAAACGAAUCACCAACAGAUUUUGGAACUGUAACAGCAAUUCAACCAAUAAUCAAACUCCUCAUUUUCUCAAAAUGCAAUUGCAACCAAAUUCAACUUCAAAUUCAACUCCAAUACCUAUCUCUGAUUCUCAACGCAACAAAAUUCCACACGUACUCACUGUUGCUGGUUCCGAUUCCGGUUCCGGUGCCGGAAUCCAAGCUGAUCUCAAAACUUGUGCUGCUCGCCGGGUUUACUGUUCCACUGUUAUUACUGCUGUUACUGCACAGAACACUCUCGGAGUUCAGGUUACUCAUCUUUCUCGCCAAUUCAUUUUUAUUUUCUUUUUCAUUAUUAUGAUUACUCAUGUGCCUUUUCUCAAUUUCUAUUGCAAUUGUUAGGGUGUUAACACGGUGCCUGAAGAUUUUGUUGCACAACAGUUAAACUCCGUGCUUUCUGAUAUGAAUGUUGAUGUGGUUAGUCUUCAAUUUUUUUCUGUUCUUCAUUGAUGCACCAUUGGUAUAUUGGUUAACACACCUAUGAAGCACGGACACUGGAAACACGGACACACCAAUAAUAUUUAAAUAAAGUAAAUAAAUUAAACGUGUGUCCGUGCUUGUUUCGAACACUGAAGUUAACACUGACACCUAUUUUCAGAGGUGUCGGUGCUAACACUGGUCAAUAAUAAUUUUCCCUUCUCUGAAUGAAUCAUGCUAUGUCUCUAGGUCAAAACAGGCAUGCUACCCUCUCUUAAUAUGGUGAAGGUCCUUUGUCAGAGUCUUAGGAAGUUUCCUGUCAAAGGUAUUCACUCGUACAAAAAUUUAUAACAUGUUUAUUCAUUUGCAAAUGUGCAAUCGGAGUGGCUUAUGUGCUGGAUUUGUUUUUGUUGAAGGAAGCUCUUGUGGUUGAUCCUGUAAUGGUAUCUACUAGUGGAGACAUACUUGCCGGUCCUUCUGUUCUUGCUGGAUUUCGGUAUGAACUUUUGAUUUUGAACCUGAACUAUGCUGCAUCUGUAUGGCGUGAAUUUUUUUUUAUACUCUUCAGUCUUUAUGCUAGAGAUAUGGUUCCUAAUGUGAAGCAGAAAGUGUAGAGGGUCUAUGUGAGGAAGAAUAAAAAUGGAAAUGAUGAGGUGGCAACCAAUGUAACCGAAUUGCCUAACGUGUGAGUAAGGGGAAAAGAGAAUCUAUUAUAUGUAAGGGGGAGGGGAGAAGAGAGGUGUAUCUAGAAAGUUUGUUACAUUUGUUUAGAAAGAGAGACCCUGUUUCUCUGAAGGAGCACUGCUCUUGGCAGCUUGGGAAUAUUCAUUCCCUUGCUGAAUUUAUCCUUCAGUCAAGAUUACUCCCCAUUGCAGUCCAUUAUUGUUUCUGUAUUUUACAGUGUCUUAUAUUUUCCUAUUACUUUACAAGAUGAUUCAAACACAAUACUAUUUGUGAUCCUCUGAUUGUGUAGUCUAAUGCAUUGUUUUUCCCCCAACAGUUUCUGUCUGCUGGUUUUAUUGUUUUUAGUGGAACACUAUAAUAUUAUUAUUAUGUUUAAAAGUUAGUUUUACUUUCAUCCUCGUUUGUAAUACACUAGAUACAUGGAUAUUUGAUAGAAAUAAUUUUGUAAAACCAUUAAAGUUUAUUAAUAAAACUGUAAAGUAUUGAUUGUGCUUAUUUCUUUGUUUCUGGAUACAGGGAGGAGCUGCUUCCCAUGGCUGAUAUUGUAACUCCAAAUGUUAAAGAGGCGUCAGCUUUACUUGGUGAUGUGCCAAUGAAGUCAGUUUCUGACAUGCGUACUGCUGCAAAAUUAUUGCAUAAUUUGGGUCCUAGGUUCGUUGCUGUUUAAUAUAUUGUAGUUUUUGGUUGUAGUCAAUCUUAAUCAUGUUCUAUAAUUUAUCUGAGAAACCUCUCCAACAGAAAGCACUGCCUUUUAUACAAAUCUCAUAGAAAGCAUAAGUUCUAAUGAUGAAGUUUGAUAAUCUCUAGGAACUAGUGUGAUUGUUUGAUUCAAUAUCUACCAUGGUCCUAUUGACCUGAACAGCGCUUUUAGAAUGUUGUUUAUAUUGAUCCGCUCAUAGUUCAACGUUGAAUUGUUUUCCCUGAUGUAAUGGUGCGCACUAACUGUGUUUGCUUUACAUUAGCAGACAUUUCAGGUGGUUUGUAUGUUCAACUGUGAUUGACUUUAUGAACAGAUGCCAAAAUUAGAAUUUUAAAAACUCCCAACUUGAGAGUAAUAUGCUUUUACAUAUAAUCAUUUUUCAUUGCAGGAAUGUACUUGUCAAAGGUGGUGAUCUCCCUAAUACUUCAGAUGCUAUUGAUGUAUUUUUUGAUGGUAAGAUUGAAGUCUUUAAUUCUCAAAGACACAAUAGCCAAACAAAAUCUCCGUAACAUAAACAAUGUUUUUCUUGUACUAUUUGCAAUGUAUAUCCAAAUCUUUGUCAAAAAUGAACACCAUUUCUUGGUCUUGAGUUUUGCAGGUCAGGAAUUCUACGAGCUUUCUUCACCACGUGUAAAUACUCGCAAUACUCAUGGCACUGGUUGUACUUUGGCAUCAUGCAUAGCGGCAGAACUGGCAAAAGGUUCAUCAAUGCUUUCAGCGGUUAAGGUUUGUUCAGCUGUCUCAUUUCACAUAAAUGUCGGAGGACCUAACUUUCAAUGACCAUGAUUCUUCUCUCUUCUUGUUAAUUAAAAAUACAUUAGAGAGGAGCAAAUAAAAAUAAAAAACAGAAUGUAUUAUGGUUCUAACACUUGUACAUAUCUGGACUCUGGCAGAUAGCUAAACGUUUUGUUGAGUCUGCCUUGGAUUACAGCAAAGACUUGGUUAUAGGAAAUGGAGCCCAGGGCCCUUUUGACCAUUUUUUGGCAUUUAAGAAUAUCAGUCAGAGCUCUUGUAGGCAGGACAGGUUCAAUCCCAAUGACUUAUUUCUAUAUGCUGUAACGGAUUCACGCAUGAAUAGUAAGUGGGGCCGUUCUAUUGCUGAAGCAGUUAAGGCGGCUGUAGAAGGAGGUGCUACCAUUGUCCAAUUAAGGUUUGUUACAUGUUCUUUUUAUUAUACUAAUAGUUGUGGUGCAUAGUCAAUACUUGACUUAUUUUCUCAUAUUUUCUUCUUUUAUAUCCUCUAUCCCACUUAAAAAAAAAGCAUAGUGCAGUGUCAGAUGUUCAAUUUCUGGCCUAAUUAGUUGAACUUUAGUUGACAAUAUUACACCAGGCAUCUUUUACUAUUAUUGUGGGUCCAGAUUUAUUUUUUCAUCUCUUCUGUAAUCCCUCCAUAAAGUGUAUGCUAUAUCCUACUUGUUUCUUGCCAAGGGUACCUGUUUUAUAUUUCAUUUGUAUUACUGCAUACGCAUCGUGUUGUAAGUAUGUUAUGCGAACUUCACUGUGGUGCUGUCUUUAACUGUUUGAAAUCAAUUAUGGUAGUACUAGUUACCGUGUUCUCAUCCUCUUCCUUUGGUUUUAUCUUAACUAGCCUUAACCAAACUAUCUAUGGAUGGUCACUGAACCCCGUCCCUUGCUCUGAAAAAUAUAUCGUCUCAUAGUUGAAGCAAUGUUAGAUUAUCCUUUAAAGAAAAACAUUCUCAUGUGAUAGUAAUUCCUUCUGUGCCUUGAUUACCAAAUUAUUUAGUGAAUUCUAUAUCACUGAUUACUUGACUAGUGCCUAGUAAUUCAUAUUGCUUUUUCCCACUUGUAUUGCUUUUCUAGGGAAAAGGAUGUCGAGACACGGGACUUUGUGGAUUCUGCCAAAGUAUGCCUUGAAAUAUGCCGUUCAUAUGGAGUACCUCUGCUUAUAAACGACCGUAUAGAUGUGGCCCUUGCUUGUGAUGCAGAUGGUGUUCAUAUUGGUCAGUCUGACAUGUCUGCACGUCUUGCUAGAACUCUCCUUGGUCCUGAAAAGGUAAUUGGAGUAUCAUGCAAGACACCAGAACAAGCACAUCAAGCAUGGAUAGAUGGUGCUGAUUACAUUGGCAGUGGUGGUGUAUAUCCCACUAAUACAAAGGCUAACAAUCGUACUAUAGGCUUAGAUGGGUUGAGAGAGGUGUGCAAGGCCUCUAAACUGCCUGUUGUUGCAAUUGGUGGCAUUGGUAUGUCAAAUGCAGGUGCUGUAAUGAAACUUGGUGUACCAAGUCUCAAAGGGGUUGCUGUUGUGUCUGCUCUAUUUGAUAGGGAAUGCAUUUUGACAGAGACAAGAAACUUGCAUGCCGUAAUAAGUGAGGCAGCAUUGUUGCCACAAUGAACAUACUGCAGUGUAAAAGGAAUUUAAUUUUAUUAAAGGAGUCCUCAGUGAAGAGUCCUAAUUGUUUUCAUCUUCAAUGGAAAUGCAAAAUUUCAGAGGAUUCUUUGCAGACCAUGCUAAGCUUGUAAGUGCAAAAUUUGAAUAAAAUGAAUGUGUGAUGCUCAAUACCUGGGCUGGACAAAAACAUAUUUGGUUGUUCAUACAUUUGCCUUUGUUCAGUACAUGCUUGAAUCACAACAAGAAUGAGUGUUCAGGGACUUAGUUACAAGAUUACACGCAUAUUUGUUGUUUUAUUCAUGUAGUCCCAUUUGAUAGACAUUGAGCCAGGACAAGCACAAUGCUCAAUGCCACAUUCGACAACAAAAACAGUUAAGGGAUGAAAAGUGAAAACAAAACAAAAUGGAAAGAUAAAACAGACACAAGGAUAUACCAAUACAAUACACCUGACUUUUUUUAACAUACAGAGAGCUUAAAAAACAUAACUUAAUACUUGUAAUACGGUCAACACUAACAAACUUGUGCAAUCAUUUAAAUAAUUUACAGCCAUUAUUUAUAUAUUUUGUUCUAGGAAGAAAACUGAAUUUUAUACAUGAGAACAAAACACACCUGCCCUAACAGAACAUAACCAAAGAGCAAAGGAAACCAAGAAUCUAUAACUCUAUCUAAAAAUGAACAUUUAUUCGUUAUUAG